AUUGAACGCUGGCGGCAGGCUUAACACAUGCAAGUCGAGCGGAGUGAUGGUGCUUGCACUAUCACUUAGCGGCGGACGGGUGAGUAAUGCUUAGGAAUCUGCCAUUUAGUGGGGGACAACAUUCCGAAAGGAAUGCUAAUACCGCAUACGUCCUACGGGAGAAAGCAGGGGAUCUUCGGACCUUGCGCUAAAUGAUGAGCCUAAGUCGGAUUAGCUAGUUGGUGAGGUAAUGGCUCACCAAGGCGACGAUCCGUAACUGGUCUGAGAGGAUGAUCAGUCGCACUGGAACUGAGACACGGUCCAGACUCCUACGGGAGGCAGCAGUGGGGAAUAUUGGACAAUGGGCGAAAGCCUGAUCCAGCCAUGCCGCGUGUGUGAAGAAGGUCUUCGGAUUGUAAAGCACUUUAAGUUGGGAGGAAGGGUUGUAGAUUAAUACUCUGCAAUUUUGACGUUACCGACAGAAUAAGCACCGGCUAACUCUGUGCCAGCAGCCGCCGUAAUAC
rnacentral:rRNA from 1 species